AUGCUCACUUUGGCAGCACAUAUACUAAAAUUAGAAUGAUACAGAGAAAAAUAACAUGACCUCCAGGCAAGGGUGACUUGCAAAUUCAUGAAACAUUCUAUGUUUUU